rnacentral:rRNA from 1 species
CACGUAGUUAGCCGUGACUUUCUGGUUGAUUACUGUCAAAUAAAGACCAGUUACUGCCUCUAUCCUUCUUCACCAACAACAGAGCUUUACGAUCCGAAAACCUUCUUCACUCACGCGGCGUUGCUCCAUCAGACUUGCGUCCAUUGUGGAAGAUUCCCUACUGCUGCCUCCCGUAGGAGUUUGGGCCGUGUCUCAGUCCCAAUGUGGCCGAUCAGUCUCUCAACUCGGCUACGCAUCAUUGCCUUGGUAGGCCUUUACCCCACCAACUAGCUAAUGCGCCGCGGGCUCAUCCUAAAGUGACAGCUUACGCCGCCUUUCAAACUUGAAUCAUGCGAUUCAUGUUGUUAUCCGGUAUUAGCACCUGUUUCCAAGUGGUAUCCCAGUCUUUAGGGCAGAUUGCCCACGUGUUACUCACCCAUCCGCCGCUAGCGUCCAACAAAUCACCCCGAAGGGAUCUUUGAAUUCAGCUCGCUCGACUUGCAUGUAUUAGGCACCG